UGAAAAUCAAGAUAUCAACUCAGGGUUUACCAUUUACUUGGUAUAUGUGCCUCUUAUAUUUCCCAGUUUGUUGACACAAUUCUUUGUGAAGUCUUGACUUCAUUCCUGGUUUACACAAUAUUUUAGCUGAGACUUUGGCAAAAGGGAUUUACCUUAUUUUAUUAAUAAGGUAGGUUCUAGGGCUAGUUUUCAAAGCAACAUAUACUGAUGGGAUAAGACAUACUGAUGGGAUGGGUCUAAAUCAUAGGAUUCAACUCAUUCAAUAGCAGCUUAAGCAAGUUAAGUGCGGAUGUUUUGUGCAAUGCCUAUGUAACCCAGGCACAGUCAUGCCAGAUUUCAAGGGCCAGAUGUUUAGGCACCAAAUACUCAAGCACCAGAUAAUGGGAUUUCCAGAAAUUCGUAAAUACUUGCUUUCUCUUGAACUGAGUGGAAAAUUGUGGCACAUGAGAAAUGUUUGCAAACAUUAGAUGGGCUCCCUCAGAAGAUAAAUCAGCAACCUCUCUUAGAUCCUAAUUCCGCUUUGAUUAUAGCGGAAGCCCCAAAAUGCAUCUUAGAUUUACCCUCUGGAGGAAACCUAGGAAGACCAGCCUUGUUAGGCUAAAGUUAGCUUCUGUGAAUACAGUGCUGAAAAAUCUUGCUGCGUACUGAUUGUCAUCUGUAGGAGCUGGAAUGCAUUUAUAGGUCAGGCAUUGUGCCUUAGUCAUCACAAAUUGAUUUUGGUGCAACUAAAUUUAUACCUAAAUAAAAUCAGCCAAAACUACUGUGGCGAAGGGUCAGUUGCUUGGCUGAUAGUAAUUAAAGAGUUCAGAAGAGUCACUAGGACAUUGUCGUGGGAGGUCAGGAGAGGAAUGGAGUGUGAGCAGAGAGACAGCAUGAUCAUUUAGACUUCUGACUGAGGCUGAGUUUAAUACCUGGUUCUGGUAAAGACUGCUUGGAUAAUCAUGAGCAAGACAUAGUGAUACUCAUCCAACCAAAGGGAAACCUCCUGUUCUGAAAUAGUUAGCCUGGCCAGACUGUACACAGUCUUUCCAGAACCUGAUUCAUCUUUUCCUCAUGUAGAAAUAGAAACCUGGUCAAGGUCAAUGGGCUACAUAGAGGACCCAAGGCAGCCAGCUCAGCUACAGACUUUGAUUCCGUCUCAAGGAAGUAACCACCAGGAGAAGCUAUUCACAGAUGACCCACAUCUGCUCUGUGGACUCACCUCCAUUUACAGAAAUCAGCGCGCUGGUUGUUGAUCCUAGAAACGAAAAGUGACCUUCAAACAGUGUGCUUCAGCACUGGGGUCCUGAUCCAAAGUCUGCUGUAGAGAAAAGAGGUUUGAAUGCCCAUUCCCACCAGGGUUUUGAGGACCUCCAGAGGAAAACUGCUCACAACAAAUGCCUGUUAAUUAAAAAGAUUAUCAGCCUAAAAACAAUAACGUUGGUUAGGAUGGAAUUCUUCGCCAUGUCAUUUGAGACAUGAAAUUGUUACUUGAAGCACUGAGUGACGCUCUCAAUAAGGGCCAGCUGGUGGAAAUUACUAAACAUGUUGUAAAUAGACUUUGGAGGCACUGAGGAUCAGGCCUGUGGUUAGAGGAAUCAAAACCCACCCGGGCUGGGGUAAUGACUAAAAGGUGGCCAUGCUGUGACACUCCUGUCCAUCCCUUCUUCCUCCUCAGCUCAUGCGCCUUAGACUACACAUUCCUGAAGGGCUGACACGGGAAAUGGUUGGAUUCUCUUGUGCUGUGGCUGCAGCAGACACUGUCAGCAAGAAAAGAGGGGAGGAGAAUGCCAGAUAAGAAGGGAAGAAAGAGGAAGGAGAAACAGAGGUGUAAAAGGAGUGAAGAGAAGAAUAAAAAAGCCAAGGAAAAGUAUGAGAAGAGAAGGCUGAAGGUACCAUCUGAAAACUGAGCUGAUUUCUCCAAGUGUCUCAGCCGUAGCUAUGAAAAUGAGUCCACCUGAAACACUGAGGAGUUGCUUCAAAUCAGUUGAUCAUCACCAGCUCUUAAAUUAACUUUAUAGCUUUUACAUCAUUAUUCUUGGUCUCUGAGAAACAGCUUUGCAGAUAAAGCAACUGAACUGAAUUGUGCAGCUGUAAAAGAGAAAAGAUUUAAAUUAUAGCCUAAAUAUUCUCCCAGCAAAGAAGAACACAUUCAGAGAGAUUUAGGGCUUAAUCUGACAAAGAAGUGGGUGGGUAGGAGGUGCUUGGUACUUCACAGCUUUAGCACCUCAGUUAUUAAAACUCAUUGAGGAGAUAUACAUCUCUGCUACCUGAAGGCCUGUCAGAUGACAGGGUGUGAACACAUCAUGUGUACCUGCAUGUCUAGACUGUGACAGAGCUGGCAUGCUCGCACUGCUAUCACACUGCCAUCAACAUUAGUACAGGAAUUGUUAAUCACUGCUCACAGAAACCUUAAAAUCAAGGGGAUAAAAAAAAAAAGGGGGGGAUUUGAAGGAUGAACUUGGCUUUUGGCCAAACCAGCAAAGGAAAACGAGACAAUCUUGUUCUGGCAACCAGCUACUUUAAGUAAAUGCUGUCUGCCAUGACCAGUGGUCUCUUGAGGGAACUCUGCUUGAGGCUGAACAAAUCCCUUUCUGGGAAGAAAUCAUCUGUGUCUCGCAUCACACAGGGCAUUGGCCAUCAGCUGACUGAACUGAACAUGUAAACAAAGCUGUGCUGGCAGUCAGGAGUCUUGCUUGUUAUACAGGGGAAAAAAAGCUCUGCAAAAGCUCAUGAUCCAUUUAUGGCACCAUCCAGGUCAGUUUGUCACUGAAAAAUGAAUUAACUAUGGACAAUCAGGCUUUUAGUAACUCCAGCAUCUUCAUUUUUUUGCUUUUGUGGUAGCUGAAGGCAGGCAUUUUACCAUUUUUUUAUGGCAAGAUACUUCCUUGCAGUCACACUUCUCCAAAUUCCUGUGCUGGUGCUGAUGUUUUCCAAACUUAGUACUUGACCACAGCAUAGGAUCACAGCGUGACCACAGCAUGAGGAGCAGCUGAAGGAACUGCGGUUGAGCCUGACUGAAGGGAGGCUGAGGGGACACCUAACCUCUCUCUACAACUAUAAGAAAGGAGGUUGUAGUGAGGUGAAUGUUGGUCUCUUAUCACAAGUACUAGGAUGAGAGGAAAUGUCCUCAGAUUGCACCCGUGGAGGUUUACAUUGGAUAUUAGGAAAAAUUUCAUCACCAGAAAGGUUGUCAAGCACUGGAACAGGCUGCCCUGAAAAGGGGUUGAGUCACCAUCCCUGGAGGUAUUUAAGAGGCGUAGAUGUGGCACUUAAGGACAUGCUUUAGUGGUGGACUUGGUGUUGCUAGGUUAAUGGUUGGACUCAAAAGCCAUUUUUGGCCUGAAUUUCCUCUGUAGGGAAGGGUCAGAUCAGCACGCCAGCUCCCUGCCUUUUCAGGAGUGCCUCUCUGUUGGUCUAUCCCUAUGAAUGCUAAACUCACAACACAGUCCCAGCCAUGUGUGUGACAGUGCCCCGAAACUCCUCAUGAAAGCAGCUUGUGGGGAAGGGAGGGGAACCCAAGAAACCUCUGCAGUGCUUUGACAUCAGCAAUCCUCACAAGAGCUCAGCCUUGAGAUACAGACCCACAGAGGACCCCAGUCCAAUCAUCCAACACAGGUGGAGUGGUCUUCUCUGCCAUGGAAGUUCUUACUAAUCUGUGCAGAUGACCAGCAGCUGAAGACAAGACGUAAUGACAGAUACUGACCCUCUAGACCGCAUCACACAUCUGUUUUUAAAGGUGUGUGAACAAAGUGAGUUUAUUCAGUGUCUCUAGGCACGUUUGUUUGGAGUUUUUUGACUAUGGUGUCAGUGCAAGGAGGAGUGUAGCUAUCCUGGUAGUCCCAGCACACUGCUGCCUUAGCCCAUGGUCUCCUAAAGACCCCUGUAAGCUUCUGUCAUGCUCUGUGUGCACCUCAGCUGACCCACUUUUGGUUUGGAAGCUGCCACUGUUCCUUUACAAAGUCUGGACAUUGGGUUUACUGUACUACUUAUCUCAUGCUGAUUUGAUGAACUGUUAGCUACAUGGUUUAUAUUCAAAAUGAUUCAUCAAGGCCCAGUCCUCAUCCAAUCAAGAGAGCAGAUAAUUGCUGUGAAAGUGCAUGAAUAUGACUGUGUGAGACCCAUAUUUUAUAUCAUAUUAUAAUGAAAUCCAUUCAGGCCUCUCUAUUGCUCAGAGAGGAUUUAGAAGACAGAUUUUGUAUCAUUUGGCUCAAGAGAGAGCAACCAAAUCAUUGCUGAAAAGCUCUGAUUUCUCUAAAGACAUUAAUUGCUAUUCUGGCUAAGAAAAAGUAAUUCAGGAUCAAUGAAACCAGCAAAACCCAACCAGAAAGGUGAUGGUUCAAAGGAAAUACACUUAACAAGAACAUCUGACUGUGUAGUCAUUGGGAGGACAGUGAAGGACACAGUCUCACAGCCAGUCUGCUCCUUUAAAGCUUUUCUAAGAAACAAUAUAAACUGAAUGUACUCAGUUCUGCCUUAUUCCCUGUAUAUGCUGUGUUUCAGUUAUUAUGGGCUGCGGAUGAGAGUUCAGCACAGAAGCUCAGUUAUUUUACUGUCCAGCGAAAUUGCCUUGGCUGCUCAAGAAAUCACCUCAGCACUUCCCUGAAAUAGGAGUCAGAAUAAAUGAAAAUGCUGGCAGCUGAACCUCAGCAUAACUUACUCUUUCAUGUGUUAACAGUGAGACUAUGGGCAGAAUUCUGCUUGGCUUUUUUUUUUUUUGACUGUAUUCCCACUGAUUCACAGCAUUAAUUCAGACAGUAACCUUUUCUUUAGUGGCUAGACCCAGCAGUGAACAUACAGGCAAUGGAGAGGGGGCAAUAAAGAUGAAUGCAU